GGGUCCGUAGGCGGAUCUGUAAGUCAGUGGUGAAAUCUCAUAGCUUAACUAUGAAACUGCCAUUGAUACUGCAGGUCUUGAGUAAAGUAUAAGUGGCUGGAAUAAGUAGUGUAGCGGUGAAAUGCAUAGAUAUUACUUAGAACACCAAUUGCGAAGGCAGGUCACUAUGUUUUAACUGACGCUGAUGGACGAAAGCGUGGGGAGCGAACAGGAUUAGAUACCCUGGUAGUCCACGCCGUAAACGAUGCUAACUCGUUUUUGGGUUUUCGGAUUCAGAGACUAAGCGAAAGUGAUAAGUUAGCCACCUGGGGAGUACGUUCGCAAGAAUGAAACUCAAAGGAAUUGACGGGGGCCCGCACAAGCGGUGGAUUAUGUGGUUUAAUUCGAUGAUACGCGAGGAACCUUACCAAGGCUUAAAUGGGAAUUGACAGGUUUAGAAAUAGACUUUUCUUCGGACAAUUUUCAAGGUGCUGCAUGGUUGUCGUCAGCUCGUGCCGUGAGGUGUUAGGUUAAGUCCUGCAACGAGCGCAACCCCUGUCACUAGUUGCCAUCAUUCAGUUGGGGACUCUAGUGAGACUGCCUACGCAAGUAGAGAGGAAGGUGGGGAUGACGUCAAAUCAUCACGGCCCUUACGCCUUGGGCCACACACGUAAUACAAUGGCCGGUACAGAGGGCAGCUACCUAGCGAUAGGAUGCGAAUCUCGAAAGCCGGUCUCAGUUCGGAUUGGAGUCUGCAACUCGACUCUAUGAAGCUGGAAUCGCUAGUAAUCGCGCAUCAGCCAUGGCGCGGUGAAUACGUUCCCGGGCCUUGUACACACCGCCCGUCAAGCCAUGGAAGUUUGGGGUACCUGAAGUCGGUGACCGUAACAGGAGCUGCCUAGGGUAAAACAAGUAACUAGGGCGAAGUCGUA
rnacentral:rRNA from 1 species